GACGAACGCUGGCGGCGUGCUUAACACAUGCAAGUCGAACGGAAAGGCCCUGCUUUUGUGGGGUGCUCGAGUGGCGAACGGGUGAGUAACACGUGAGUAACCUGCCCUUGACUUUGGGAUAACUUCAGGAAACUGGGGCUAAUACCGGAUAGGAGCUCCUGCUGCAUGGUGGGGGUUGGAAAGUUUCGGCGGUUGGGGAUGGACUCGCGGCUUAUCAGCUUGUUGGUGGGGUAGUGGCUUACCAAGGCUUUGACGGGUAGCCGGCCUGAGAGGGUGACCGGCCACAUUGGGACUGAGGUACGGCCCAGACUCCUACGGGCGGCAGCAGUGGGGAGUAUUGCACAAUGGGCGGAAGCCUGAUGCAGCAACGCCGCGUGCGGGAUGACGGCCUUCGGGUUGUAAACCGCUUUCGCCUGUGACGAAGCGUGAGUGACGGUAAUGGGUAAAGAAGCACCGGCUAACUACGUG
rnacentral:rRNA from 1 species